rnacentral:rRNA from 1 species
CCUACGGGAGGCAGCAGUGGGGAAUUUUCCGCAAUGGGCGAAAGCCUGACGGAGCAACGCCGCGUGAGGGAUGAAGGCCUCUGGGCUGUAAACCUCUUUUAUCAAGGAAGAAGAUCUGACGGUACUUGAUGAAUAAGCCACGGCUAAUUCCGUGCCAGCAGCCGCGGUAAUACGGGAGUGGCAAGCGUUAUCCGGAAUUAUUGGGCGUAAAGCGUCCGCAGGCGGUCUUGUAAGUCUGUCGUUAAAGCGUGGAGCUCAACUCCAUUUCGGCGGUGGAAACUACAAGACUAGAGUGUGGUAGGGGCAGAGGGAAUUCCCGGUGUAGCGGUGAAAUGCGUAGAUAUCGGGAAGAACACCAGUGGCGAAGGCGCUCUGCUGGGCCAUAACUGACGCUCAUGGACGAAAGCUAGGGGAGCGAAAGGGAUUAGAUACCCCUGUAGUCCUAGCCGUAAACGAUGAACACUAGGUGUCGGGGGAAUCGACCCCCGUCGGUGUCGUAGCUAACGCGUUAAGUGUUCCGCCUGGGGAGUACGCACGCAAGUGUGAAACUCAAAUGAAUUGACGG